rnacentral:rRNA from 1 species
AUUGAACGCUAGCGGGAUGCUUUACACAUGCAAGUCGAACGGCAGCGCGGACUUCGGUCUGGCGGCGAGUGGCGAACGGGUGAGUAAUGUAUCGGAACGUGCCCAGUAGCGGGGGAUAACUACGCGAAAGCGUGGCUAAUACCGCAUACGCCCCACGGGGGAAAGGGGGGGAUCUUAGGACCUCUCACUAUUGGAGCGGCCGAUAUCGGAUUAGCUAGUUGGUGGGGUAAAGGCCUACCAAGGCG